rnacentral:rRNA from 1 species
GAUUAACAAGUCUAGUGUGAAAUGCAGUUGCUUAACAACUGUUUGCAUUGGAAACUGUUAGUCUGGAGUGUGAUAGGGAGUUCUGGAACUCCAUAUGGAGCGGUGGAAUGCGUAGAUAUAUGGAAGAACACCUGUGGCGAAAGCGAGAACUUAGGUCACAACUGACGCUUAGGCUCGAAAGUGUGGGGAGCAAAUAGGAUUAGAUACCCUAGUAGUCCACACCGUAAACGAUGGUUAUUAGUUGUUGGUACGAAGUACUAGUAACGAAGCUAACGCAUUAAAUAACCCGCCUGGGGCACCAUUCGCAAGAAUGAUAAUCAAACGGAAUCACCGAAACCCGCCCAGCYGCUGGCCCAUGUUGUCUA